rnacentral:tRNA from 1 species
GCCUGGGUGGCUCAGUCGGUUGAGUGCUCAAUUCUUGAUCUCAGCCAGGUGUGGAUUUCAGAGUCGUGGGUUCGAGCCCCACACUGGGCU